rnacentral:rRNA from 1 species
GAUGAACGCUGACAGAAUGCUUAACACAUGCAAGUCAACUUGAAUUUGGGUUUUUAACUUAAGUUUGGGUGGCGGACGGGUGAGUAACGCGUAAAGAACUUGCCUCACAGCUAGGGACAACAUUUGGAAACGAAUGCUAAUACCUAAUAUUAUGAUAAUAGGGCAUCCUAUAAUUAUGAAAGCUAUAAGCGCUGUGAGAGAGCUUUGCGUCCCAUUAGCUAGUUGGAGAGGUAACGGCUCACCAAGGCGAUGAUGGGUAGCCGGCCUGAGAGGGUGAUCGGCCACAAGGGGACUGAGACACGGCCCUUACUCCUACGGGAGGCAGCAGUGGGGAAUAUUGGACAAUGGACCAAGAGUCUGAUCCAGCAAUUCUGUGUGCUCGAUGAAGUUUUUCGGAAUGUAAAGUGCUUUCAGUUGGGAAGAAAGAAAUGACGGUACCAACAGAAUAAGUGACGGCUAAAUACGUGCCAGCAGCCGCGGUAAUACGUAUGUCACGAGCGUUAUCCGGAUUUAUUGGGCGUAAAGCGCGUCUAGGUGGUUAUGUAAGUCUGAUGUGAAAAUGCAGGGCUCACUCUGGUUUUGCUUUGGAAACUGUAUACUAGAUUACUGGAGAGGUAAUUGGUACUACAAGUGUAUAGGUGAAUUUCUUAGAUAUUUUGUAGGAUUGUCGAUGGUGAAUCCAGCUUACUGGGACUGAUUCUUGACUCUUGAAUCUUGGAAUGUGUGUGUGUGCAAACUUGAUGUUGAUGCCCCGGGUAGUCUUGUGGGUGAAUUUCCUCUGUGUGAUAUGAAUCUUAUCUUUGUGCGUCGACCUUUGUGGGGUGGCCUGGUUAAAAAAAUUUAAAUCUCUUGUGUUUUGUUGUUUUUUUUUUUUUCUUUACCUCUAUCUCUGUCUUUU